UCCAGACUCCUACGGGAGGCAGCAGUGAGGAAUAUUGGUCAAUGGCCGUAAGGCUGAACCAGCCAAGUAGCGUGAGGGAAGACUGCCCUAUGGGUUGUAAACCUCUUUUAUGCGGGGAUAAAGGUGUCCACGUGUGGAUGUUUGCAGGUACCGCAUGAAUAAGGACCGGCUAAUUCCGUGCCAGCAGCCGCGGUAAUACGGAGGAUGCGAGCGUUAUCCGGAUUUAUUGGGUUUAAAGGGUGCGUAGGCGGGCUGUUAAGUCAGCGGUCAAAUGUCGGGGCUCAACCCCGGCCUGCCGUUGAAACUGGCGGCCUCGAGUGGGCGAGAAGUAUGCGGAAUGCGUGGUGUAGCGGUGAAAUGCAUAGAUAUCACGCAGAACUCCGAUUGCGAAGGCAGCAUACCGGCGCCCUACUGACGCUGAGGCACGAAAGCGUGGGUAUCGAACAGGAUUAGAUACCCCGGUAG
rnacentral:rRNA from 1 species